AGUGGCGAACGGGUGAGUAAUACGUGAGUAACCUGCCCUUGACUCUGGGAUAAGCCCGGGAAACUGGGUCUAAUACUGGAUGCUACAUGUCACCGCAUGGUGGUGUGUGGAAAGGGUUUACUGGUCUUGGAUGGGCUCACGGCCUAUCAGCUUGUUGGUGAGGUAAUGGCUCACCAAGGCGACGACGGGUAGCCGGCCUGAGAGGGUGACCGGCCACACUGGGACUGAGACACGGCCCAGACUCCUACGGGAGGCAGCAGUGGGGAAUAUUGCACAAUGGGCGAAAGCCUGAUGCAGCGACGCCGCGUGAGGGAUGACGGCCUUCGGGUUGUAAACCUCUUUCAGCAGGGAAGAAGCCACAAGUGACGGUACCUGCAGAAGAAGCGCCGGCUAACUACGUGCCAGCAGCCGCGGUAAUACGUAGGGCGSRRGCGUUGUCCGGAAUUAUUGGGCGUAAAGAGCUCGUAGGCG
rnacentral:rRNA from 1 species